rnacentral:rRNA from 1 species
UACGUAGGGACCGAGCGUUGUCCGGAAUCAUUGGGCGUAAAGAGCGUGUAGGCGGCUUGCUAAGUCCUGCGUGAAAUCUCGGGGCUCAACCCCGAGCGGUCGUGGGAAACUGGCAGGCUAGAGUGCGGGAGAGGAGAGUGGAAUUCCUGGUGUAGCGGUGGAAUGCGCAGAUAUCAGGAGGAACACCGGUGGCGAAGGCGGGUCUCUGGGCAGUGAACUGACGC